UACGUAGGGUGCGAGCGUUAAUCGGAAUUACUGGGCGUAAAGCGUGCGCAGGCGGUGAGCUGUGUCCGAUGUGAAAGCCCCGGGCUUAACCUGGGAAUGGCAUUGGAAACUGGCUCGCUGGAGUGUGGCAGAGGGGGGUGGAAUUCCGCGUGUAGCAGUGAAAUGCGUAGAGAUGCGGAGGAACACCGAUGGCGAAGGCAGCCCCCUGGGCUAACACUGACGCUCAGGCACGAAAGCGUGAGGAGCAAACAGG
rnacentral:rRNA from 1 species